rnacentral:rRNA from 1 species
UUUUUAAUUGGGAUCUUGUAUGAAUGAUUGGACAAGAGAAAUACUGUCUUUGUAUUAAAACUUGAAUUUAACUUUUAAGUGAAAAGGCUUAAAUAUGCUAAAGGGACGAUAAGACCCUAUAAAACUUUACAUUUAUGUUAAAUUUUAUGGAAUUUGAAGAUUAUAAUUAUUAAAUUUAAUUUUUUGUUAUGUUGGGGAGACAAAAGCUAUAAUUAUAUGUAACUGCUUUUAAGGGAAACAAAAAUAAGUGAUAAGUAUUAGGGAUCCUUUAUUGAGAUUAUAAGAUUAAGUUACUUUAGGGAUAACAGCGUUAUUUUUUUUGAGAGUUCAUAUUGAAAAAAAAGAUUGCGACCUCGAUGUUGAAUUAAAAUAUCUUUAUAAUGCAGGUGUUAUAAAAGAAGGUCUGUUCGACCUUUAAUUUUUUA